AUUCUACCUGACACUAAAGAGGCCCGAGUCAGUGCCAGAUCCUUAAACUGCAAAGUGAGUGCAGGUUGAAAGGGAUGUUUCUGCUCUUGUCAUUAUCACUCACUUGCAAGGGUACACAAGGUACCCUCGUCCAUCUAUACAUACAACUAUAAGCAAAUCAUACAGCUAUAAGCAAAGGGAGGCUAAAAUGGAUACCCUCUGAGCUGCAUUCUAUCGCUAUGUCUAUGGCUUCAGAUGGUUGGUCAUAUUUAUCCACUUUUGGGUUCCUUGGCUUCAGGCAUGGUUGACUCUUGGUCACGGGCUGUUCCGUCUGUUCCUCCAACAGUUAAUUCUCAUUCUCCUUCACCCACCUGCACGGCAAUAGCUUUGCCCCUAACUAUGGAUCAGAAGAGGAUCAUUCAAGCCUGAGAAACCUCCUUGGUCCGAGGGCUGUUGAAAGAUAUUCACAGCCAAGGAUCCCGGACCUAAACAAAUCAGAGUCUCCAUGGCUAUAAUUUGGAGGCUGAGAACUGUCACUUUCACAUUUCUUUGAGCCAGUUGUCCAAGGAAACUCAAAGGGCACUUCUCGGAAAAACGGUAUGACUCCCUUAUUUCUUUAUAGAAAGGUCUCAAGAGCCAAAUGUGUGAACUGAGCCCUUGGUCUGACUAGGAUCUCCACCAGGAGUACCCAUGGAAGGGCACCAAGUGGUGGUCUGCGUACUCAUAGGACUUGCAUAUAAACAGAUACAGAGGCAAUAUUCAUAUGAAAGCGCCAAUGUAGAGAAUCUCCUUCCAUAAUCACGUCUUCACAGGUUUAUCGUCUUCGAUUCUCAGAUCCAUAGUUCAGCCUGUUCCCAACAAGAGGAGCAAAAUGUCUCUUGACCCUCCAUCACACCAUGGAACCAACUCGCUGAGUUACUAAGUGAUGAUUCCAGUCUAACUUCAUGCUCACUGACUGGCUCCACCCACCCUUACCUGAUCCAUUCGGGCUCUGCUAUCCACAUAAUGCUUUGCUAGAACUCGAGAGCUCUGCCGAGAUAUUUUAUGCCACUUCACGUUGUGUGGCCGAGUCCUUUUGCCCCUUCCCCACAGCGUGACUUCAUAGCUGAGUUGACACCUCUCUAGAGAAGGAGUUUUGGAGGAAUUUCCUUGACAACUUAGGCCGCAAAGUUAAAUACCAACCACAAUUCUCGGACCCUGGCAACUGCUACAAUGGGGUCCUGUGGGAUUUCAUAUGUAGAAUCCAGAAUCUCAAUGGAUCGGUCAAUGCUCCCAGAAGACAAGUUUCACAAUGGACAGAUUUUCUCAGCAACACCAAGACUCCAAGGAUGCAGACAAGGGAAAUUGCCCAAUCCAGAGAGGGAGGUGUACAGAAGAGAGUUGACACAGCAGGCCUGAGACAGCUCUCCUGAGAAGGGCCAGCUCGCGAGGCCGACCACCGGCUGCCGUUUGGGAACUUGGAGUUUGGGAGAAUGCCUCCCAUUCCCUGAUUGGGCACAGUGAGCCAUUCUUAACUGUUUGUGCAAACACUGCGGUGUAUCCUGAACACAUGUUUUUCUUUGGGAAGUCUGGAAUUUGGGUAUGUGCUAAGCAGAAGGUAGCUAUGUGAGCAGACCCCAAUAAAAAUCCUAGGCACUGAGUCUCUAAAGAGCUUCCCUGGUGGAACUCAUCUCACCCUUGUUGUCACAACUUAUUGACAGGGGAAUUAGGCCCAUCCUGCCUGACUCCACUGCGAGAGGACGUUCGGAAGCUUGUACCUCGUUUCCUCCAGACUUUGACCUAUGCGCCUUUUCUCUUUGCCGAUUAUGCUCUGUAUCCUUUUGUUGUUGUAAAUAGCCACGAGUACAACUAUAU